rnacentral:rRNA from 1 species
UACGUAGGGUGCGAGCGUUGUCCGGAAUUACUGGGCGUAAAGAGCUCGUAGGUGGUUUGUCGCGUUGUUCGUGAAAACUCACAGCUCAACUGUGGGCGUGCGGGCGAUACGGGCAGACUGGAGUACUGCAGGGGAGACUGGAAUUCCUGGUGUAGCGGUGGAAUGCGCAGAUAUCAGGAGGAACACCGGUGGCGAAGGCGGCAUCCUGGACCGGUAUUGACGCUGAGGCGCGAAAGCUAGGGGAGCAAACGGG